rnacentral:rRNA from 1 species
ACGGAAGGCAGCAGUGGGGGAUAUUGCGCAAUGGGGGAAACCCUGACGCAGCAACGCCGCGUGCAGGAUGACGGCCUUCGGGUUGUAAACUGUUGUCGCAAGGGAAGAAGACAGUGACGGUACCUUGUGAGAAAGCCACGGCUAACUACGUGCCAGCAGCCGCGGUAAUACGUAGGUGGCAAGCGUUGUCCGGAUUUACUGGGUGUAAAGGGCGCGUAGGCGGGCUUUCAAGUCAGAUGUGAAAUACCGGGGCUUAACUCCGGUGCUGCAUUUGAAACUGUUAGUCUUGAGUAUCGGAGAGGAAAGCGGAAUUCCUAGUGUAGCGGUGAAAUGCGUAGAUAUUAGGAGGAACACCAGUGGCGAAGGCGGCUUUCUGGACGACAACUGACGCUGAGGCGCGAAAGUGUGGGGAGCAAACAGGAUUAGAUACCCUGGUA